CGCCACCUUCAUAAACCUGGACCCUCCUAGAUUGUCGAGGUCGAGCGUGAUCUUCUCGAAAGCCCGGUGGAUUUUGUUAGGAGAGGCCUCCGAUAUAUCCGAGACUGAAGCAUCGGAGGCCAUUUCGUCAUUUUCGUCGGACUGAGAGAUGGCAUUGUACUCCAUAAUGAAGGCGACGACGGGCGACGGUGGUUACGGGAUGACGCCAGCGCGGUCAGUUCUGUACAGAGAACAAAAGAAUGAAAGAGAUACGGACGCAAUCAGCAAGCGAACGGAAGCGUAUUGAUCGAUCCAGGAUAUGCGAAAGGGGAGAGGGAGGGAUCAAAAAAACAAAAAAGAGUAAACGAACAAAGGAGUGAAGUUGAGGAAGUUGUUGAAGUUGGCGGAUGAUGGUCUCGUGAGGCCUGAGAGCCACAGAGAGGGCAACGACUAUGGCGGAGGACCAGAACAAGGAACAGGACAGGAACCGAAAGGCCAGGGGGACUACCUGCGAUCGCGGGUAUGAUCUCUCUGUUUCGAUGGGUCAACACUGGGAUGGCAGGGAGUUGUUGCGGUGACAGGAUGAGGAUGGUUAUUGUUCCACCGCGCACAAAGCCGCCUUGCCAAUUGGAAUGGGGGUGAUCUGUCUAAAAACACAUUAUCAACAGAAGCAUAGCAAUGCAAUGUGUACUGUAUGUUUGAAGGAGGGACAGAGAACCGUUCUACACCGUGAGAGAAAGUGGUUUUAUUAAACAGUAGUUAACCAAAAUAUAAUACACUAACAUACGACAUA
rnacentral:sRNA from 1 species